rnacentral:lncRNA from 1 species
UGGCUGUAGUUUACCUUCCCAGCCUACCCUGGAAGAGAGGAACUCACCUGCACAGAGACACUGUCUGUCUCCUUCCCAACUAAAGAGCAUGUGAUUUCAGACCCGGAAGGCCAGCUCUGGGGUGCUCCCUAAAGGCCCAUUCUCUUUUCUCACUGGCAGACACCAGCCCCCGGAGGUCCUCUUAACAAGCCCCAAACCAGGCCAUUUGCAGUGAUUCCCUCCCUGGGUCCUUGACGACGGAGCCUUGUCCACCCCGCUCUACUCGAGAGAAGAUUCAUGAGGCAGC